UGGUCCUCGUUCCGUCAGCGCGAAUGUACAAUCAACAAAAUUAGUUUCAUUUGAGCAAAUGGCAUGGCUUGGCAGUCAACGUCGACCCACAUAGCAGACUCGGCUUAAAUAGGUGUAGGGGCUGUGAUGGGACGUCUUUGCAGAGGAGGAGGACGACCUGGCAGAAGGAUAAGCAAGCCGGCUACUUUUGAUUGCUGGCUGGCGUUCGCUUUUGAUCUCUCCAAACAGCAGAUAAAUGAUAAGGUGCCCGGGCUGGAAGAAAAAAUGCUGCAAAGUGUAGAAAAUUGCGCCGCAGGUGUGUGAUGGACCCAUCAGUCUCAUCUCCUGUUGGCCCUGCUGCUGGAGCUGCUGCCGACUCUGUGGGUUGUUUUGAAAGUAACUUCAAGGCAACCGCAAAGCAAAUAAUUAAAAAUUUCCCGGCUGUUACCUACUGCAAGUGAAGUGAAAAUGAAAAGCAAAAUCAAGAGAAAAAUUCUGCGGACAUUGGAAGCCUGGUGGAACUGUUGUGGGUGUAACGGAGGCCGCUGACUGUGAGCCGUUGCCAAUUAGCGGAAAAAUAUACAAAAAUUCACAGCGAAAACUAGAUAACCUGCUACGUGCUUGACUCUGUGCUGCUUGGUCUACGAGUACCUCCGUACUCGUCGAGUACAAGGCAUCAACAGAUGAGAAAGCAUACUUAAGUCGCCUAUAUCUACUCAAAUGCAUGCAAACAGAUCAAUAACUGCAUCCAACGAGCGGGAACGCUAACAAGUACUUCGAACCUUUACAUCCGUUUCGAGUUUUCGUUUCGCAUUCGAAUGCGAGCUAAAAAUUGAAUAUUCCGCUCAUCCGAAAGUGCUGAUUGCUGCUAUGGAGAAAGAAUGUGUUGCGCACCUGGAAAACAGGACUUAUCUGAAACUGAACAGCUUGCUCACCGGCACAGAUCCAGAUUCAAACCUGUUUCUGAAGUCCAUUCGCACAUUUAAUUCUUUCUUCCAGCAAGUUUCACAAAUGAAUACGAUUUCAAAACCAGUAUAUCUUAUGCAACCGUAAAGUUAUAUGUAUUAUGAUUCGAUCCGCCUUCGGCCUUUUAUUGCUCUUUGCUUGGAGAGGGCCAGUUCAAACUCAGACUCAGACCUAAUCAACAAAAAUACGAGUUACAACAACAACAGAGUUGGACGGUGAAAUUAAAUCUGACCUUCAAUUGAUGCUCUUUUCAGACACUUAAUUGAAGACUAUAGGUACUAAUAGUACAAAUACUGUGUAUUUGCAAUAAUCUAGUAUAGCAUUUAUGUUUUAUUCGGGAAGUAAAACGAAGAAUAGUAUACUAUGAUUGCUUUAUGGUUCAUUUUCAAUGCUAAUUGCAAAAUAGUUACUGUGACCAAAUUGAAGGUUCGGUUUACAUAAAAAACACUUGCUGCAUCACAAUGAAAUUUUAAAACGGGUUUACAUACUCGUUGGAAUAGGAACAUUCAAUUUCCAUAUUGAUGAUUUACUAACAACAUUUAAAGUUUGGAGAGUGUCUAGCAGUCGGAAUUUAAUCUGUAGCGUUUCUCUGUGUUUUCUAUACGGAGGACUGCCCACUGCAGAACAGAACAGGAGCCUUGACAGCCAACCCCCGGCUGUCCACCCUCCAAGCUGGUUGCGAGAGAGUUGGGGAGGAAGGGGCCACUGUCUGUCAACCUGCAGCCAUAAAUAAUGGCCGGCUGCAGGCUGCUGGCGGCAAUUUAUAAAUCUGUUUAUUGUAACAUCCUGGCGACUCGCGCAUGUAAUUUAUGUAUCUGAAAUCUAGUUAAGCCACUGUCGUCCCUCUGCGAGAAUGGGCUAAUGAGGGUCCGAUUGCAGCGCAACGGAGUUGACGGAGUUUCAAAAAUGUUGCCGUUUCCUUCCCAACAAAAAAUCACUCAAACUCCAUGGUAUUAUCCUUUUUUUUUUUUUAAUUGCAUAGAUAAUUCUAUGAGCAAUUCCAAUUCAAAAGAAAGACUGUACCUCCCAGUGUUUGAAUAUUAAAUGUUAAUUAUUUAAAUCAUAUCUCUAACUUACUUUAUCCAGAAAAAAUAUUAGUUUGUUAUGACAGCAAAUAAAAACUCUUACGAAGAACUUAA